GGCAUGGUGGCUUAGUGGUUAGUACGUUUGCCUCGCACCUACAGGGUUGAGAGUUCGAUUCCCACCUCCACCA